GCCUGUCUCCAGAAAACAAACUCAGUCAGGUAGGGCAUGAGACUCUUAAUCUCAACGUCAUGGGUUUGAUCCCCACGUUGGGCA